GUGUGCACAGUAGUAAGCGGUGGUGUGGCAUUUUCAAGCCGCUGGUGCGUCGAGCAAUGGCGGUUACAGCGUUAUCAUUCCAGUGGAUGGAUGCACUGGAAAAGGAGUUCGAUGUCACCUUCGUUGACCUAGACACCAUUCUUGGCAGCGGCGUGCUCGACUCGCUGGACGAGGCGGCCGACUCGCUGCCCGAGGCGGACGAGGC